rnacentral:rRNA from 1 species
AGCAGUAGCCGCGGUAAUACGUAUGUCACGAGCGUUAUCCGGAUUUAUUGGGCGUAAAGCGCGUCUAGGUGGUUAUGUAAGUCUGAUGUGAAAAUGCAGGGCUCAACUCUGUAUUGCGUUGGAAACUGUACAACUAGAGUACUGGAGAGGUAAGCGGAACUACAAGUGUAGAGGUGAAAUUCGUAGAUAUUUGUAGGAAUGCCGAUGGGGAAGCCAGCUUACUGGACAGAUACUGACGCUGAAGCGCGAAAGCGUGGGUAGCAAACAGGAUUAGAUACCCCGGUAGUCCCUGUCUCUUAUACC